rnacentral:lncRNA from 10 species
AACCUCGUCUCUACUAAAAAUACAAAAAUUAGCUGGCCAUGAUGGUGGGCGCCUGUAAUCCCAGCUCCUCGGGUGGCUGAGGCAGGAGAAUCACUUGAACUGGGAAGGUGGAGGUUGCAGUGAGCUGAGAUGUGCCACUGCACUCUAGCCUGGGUGACAAGAGCAAGACUGUCUCAAAAAACAUUACACACUUCUCAAAAAGCAAGAGGGUGAGGGUUAUCCCUUUCUAAUUUCUGCUUCUUACUCCCAAACAUAGCUUGAAAAUCCUUUUUGCUUGGCUUUGGCAUUUUGGGGCACAUCUGGAUUCAUUCCAGGAUUUGUCUUCCUGACACAUAAAUGCAGAAGUGUACACUGUCCUCUUACUUCUCCUGAGUUACAUGCACAUCAGACAGGCCUCAGGUUAUCUGCCUUUGUUAUGUCCCGAGCCUUUCACAGAUAAAGCCCAAAUAACCUCUACCUGCAGGCCCCAGCCUGCCUGAGCCUGUGAGUCAAUUCUCCCUAAAGCCAGAAGAGUAUCAGCUUCAGCCCCAGCUGUCUGAAGUUAGGCUUGCUGCCUAUAGUGUGCUAGCAAUAAAAAAAGUCUGGGGCCUAUAAGGCUUUGGAGUAACAGCAUCUUCAAUCUGUGCUGGCCUCAGCCAUGCAACUGGGAAACAGCAGAAUGCAGUGGGGAGAGUAGUGGCUAAGGAGCCUGCCAGGUUAAGGUUAGGCUUCCCAUUCUCACCCUUGACAAGUCACUGAACCACCUGUUUUCUCAUCUGUCAAGGGAAGGUCAUCUCUAAUUCCCAUCCCCUGCAGGGUCUCUUGGUGUUAUCUAUAUUCAGUCUUUCUGUUACACUGUUUUCAAAUUCAAUACGAGUAGAGGGUUCCCUCUUAAUUUUAUGUCUCAAAUUAUCUUUGCCUGAUAGGAUGACAGAAAAUGUACCUAAUGUUGCCAGGCGCGGUGGCUCACGCCUGUAAUCCCAGCACUUCGGGAAGCGGAGGUGGGCGGAUCACAAGGUCAGGAGAUUGAGACCAUCCUGGCUAACACGGUGAAACUCCAUCUCUAUUAAAAAUACAAAAAAUUAGCUGGGCGUGGUGGCGAGCACCUGUGGUCCCAGCUACUCGGGAGGCUGAGGCAGGAGAAUCGCUUGAACCCAGAAGGCAGAGGUUGCAGUGAGCGGAGAUCGCACCACUGCACUCCAGCCUGGGUGACAGUGAGACUCCAUCUCAAAAAAAAAAAGAAAGAAAGAAAGAAAGAAAAUAUACCUAAUAUAAGGUCAAUCAUUUGCCUUCUCUUGUUAUUUCUGUUCAAAAUGUUUUAUUUUUCUUACCCUUAAGCCAUACUUUCAAACCAUAAAGCUAUGGGAGGGCAGCAAAGCCUAAGAUUAAUAAUAAUAUUUAGUGAAGACUAAUUAUGUGGUAGGUACUGUCCUAGGCACUUGACAUGGAUUAUUACACUUAAUCCUUGAAACAGCCUUAUGAGAAAGGUGCUUCAUAAGUAGGCACUAUGAAGUCAAUAUGAUUGCUAUUGUACAAAUGAAGGAACUGAGGCAUGAAGAUGUUAGGCAACUUGCCCCGGGGUCACACACACCUAGUUAAGUAGAGAGGGAUACAGCAGAAGUUUGGAGAGAAAGUUCUUAAUUAUACCAAUAGGUUAUUAUCUUUCUCACUUCAGCAGUGGUCAUGUCUAAUUCAGUCCAAAUAAUAAGUAACUUAUUGCCUGGUGUGACAUUAAUUUAUUUGUUGAAUAUCUUCUUGGUGCAAAGCCCUGUGCUAGAAGACUUGCACUAGGGGAGAUUAUAAAAAGAGAAAGAUGUGGUCCCUGCCCCGAAGAAAAUCAGAAGCUAGUAGGGAAAUAGAAUAAGAAAUAAUGAAUUCCAAUACAAGUAAAACACAGUACAUGCUUUAAUAGUGCUACAAGCUAAGUGCCACCUGGCCCAGAGGGUGAAGCAGUAUGUGUUGGUGUUACACAGGAGGCUUGAUUAAAAAGUUUAUUUUGGAGUUGAGCCUUUAUGGACAAGUAGGAUUUUGAGAGGCGGAGAAGUGAGAGAAAGACAUUCCAGGCAAGGGAACCACAUGGGCAAAUACUCACACUGAGUCGCUAUUGACUCACUAACCUCAGUGCAGGGUUUGUUCCUGGAUUAGCAAGGAGUUUGGCGUUUCUAAGCCUUAGGGUGUAUGAGAGGGAGUCCUAAUUUGGUAGGCGAUAGUAGAAAGGCAAAGUCAUAAAAUCUCGGAAUUGAAGAUCCCCAAAGGUCAUCUAAUUUAGUAACACGUCCAAUGCCUAGAGCUCUGCCAAGUCAUCAUCAAAACUAGGCUCAAAUAGUUCUAACAUCACAUGCAUUAUUGUCUCCUAUGGCAGCCCAUCCCAUCACUGUCUGAAGUUAUAUUGCCCAUUUAUUUAUGUGUAUUUGCUGAUUGUCUGUCAUACUAGAACUCAAGUUCCAUGAUGGCAGAGACUGACUUACCUGUCAUGUAUCCCCAGUGCCUAGCACUGCAGGCAUACAAUCAAUAUUUGUUGAAUGCAUUCCAGCUCAGGACAGCUCUGACAUCUAUAAAGUUCUUCAGUAAUUUCCACAAGAUAGUACUUUACAUAUAUGAAGACAACUAGCCCUCUUUUAUCUUUUUCAAGUUAAAUAUCAACAGUUAGUCAACAAUUCCACAUGAAAAAAUAACUUUGGGCCUUUUCACUAUCCUGAUCACACUCUCAAAUAAGCUCCAUUUUGUCUCUAUUUCUUUUAGUGUGUUGCUGCAAGAACAGAAGGCAAUAUUCCAACUCUGUGACCCCCUCAAAUUAGAGAGGUCCUAUAAGCUCUCUUAUUCGAGGUGUUACAGUGUGACCCAAGAUGGCACUAACUUUGCUGAGGUCCACUUCACCCUGUUGCCUAUGUUUCUCUGAUUGUCAGCUAACCUCCUUUCCACUCCCUUCACCAGUUGCUGUGUUCUACUGCUUGCUCACCUGUCUCUUGUCCUGACUUGUGUAGGUAGAUUUUGAAAACCAAGUCCACGGCCUUAUAUUUAGGAGGCUCUUACAGUAAUCCAGAACAAAAGAUACAAGGUAUUGAACUAGAGCAGUGUAGCCAGCAAGGAAGAGACAAAAAGAAAAACAUAUCUGAGGCAUUGUCAAUGGGACUUGCAAUCUACUGAUUUAGUGACCACUAGCACGCUUUCUCAAUGGAUGCCUCUCUCUCCAGACCACGUAUGAAUUUGGAGUCAAUUCCCAGUUUCUCCCUACCUCACUGUCUUUGAAGCAAGCAUGCGACUCUUUUGAAGUCUUCUAUACAUUUUUUUCCCAAGUUACUGUCUAUAAAAAUAUAUUAGGAAAGUUCAAAGGCAGCAAGAUUUCUAGCCAGGAUGACUGAAAAGAUGGUAGUUCCAUGACUAAGGUAGGAAAUCCAGGAGAAGGACCAGAUAUUAAGGUGAUAAUGAAGCACCUGGUUUGGGAUGUGUUGAAUUUGAUGACCUGAGGACAUCUAGCAAACAGUUUGAAAAGUGUUUACUUCUUUGGCUCUGGAGUGCAAACUGAAAUGUAUAUCUGUGAGUCAUCAACAGAGAUGCUUGAAGCUUUCCCCAGAGAAUGAGAAUUUUGAUUAUCAUUUAAACUGAAAAAAAGACAAGACUGAGAAAAAAACGUUUAACAAUGACCACAUAAAAUGGGUAUUUGAAGGAGGAAUCCCCCAGAAAGAGAGAGAGGGGAAGGAAGGCUCAGGCGGUAUGGGGAAAACUUGAUGAGUUUAUUGUCAGGGGCAAAGCUGGACAUUAUUGCAGAAGGAAGAGAAAUCAGUUACAUCAAACACAGCAGAAAUCUCCUAGAGAACAAAACUUCUCAUGAUGCUACUGAGUUUAUCAAUGAGGAGGUGAUCUAAUAACCUUAAACAAAAUAAUUCCAGUUUUAGAGCCAGGUCACAAGCAGUUGAUAAAUAAGGAGUAAAUGGUAGCAAUGAAGUCAAAGCGGUAAAUGUAGACUGCUAUUUUGAAAAGUUGUUAUGCAAUACAUGUAAACUAGAAAAGCAACAAAUCUAUAUGAUAUUUAUAUGAUCUACAUAUUCUAAAAUAUAACAUGGGGUUAAUUACUAUUUCAUUGUAAUGUAUGACUCUAGAAUUAAUCAUUUUAUAGACCUUAUGAUUGCACUAG